GACGAACGCUGGCGGCGUGCCUAAUAUAUGCAAGUAGGACGCAGUUGCGAACGGGUGAGUAACGCGUAGGUAACUACCUAUUAGAGGGGGAUAACUAUUGGAAACGAUAGCUAAUACCGCAUACUAGUAGCUGGACCUGCGUUGUAUUAGCUAGGAGGUAGGGUAAAGGCCUACCUAGGCAACUAUACAUAGCCGACCUGAGAGGGUGAUCGGCCACACUGGGACUGAGACACGGCCAAGACUCCUACGGGAGGCAGCAGUGGGGAAGAUUGCACAAUGGGCGCAAGCCUGAUGCAGCCAGGCCGGGUGUAUGAAGAAGGCCGUCGGGGUGUAAAGUACUUUCAGCGGGGAGCGUUACCCGCAGAAGAAGCACCGGCUAACUCCGUGCCAGCAGCCGCGGUAAUAC
rnacentral:rRNA from 1 species